AUGAAUUCAAAGAAGGAGAUCUAGUUUAUGUAGCCAAUGGUAAUAAACUAAACAGAAAAAAAAAUGGAUGAAGUCCGAAUUGGUCCAUUCGAAAUAAUGGAGAAAGUGUCUGAUUCAGUUUAUAAAAUCAACACAGGACAUGGAAAGAGAUCGAUUGGUUUGUAUCACAUCACAAAGCUCAUUCCUAUGUCUAGUGAUAUACCAUAAUUUGCACUACAUAGUGAAAAUUAUAUCUUGUGGAGGGAAGAUGUAAGCUUUGUGAAUGUUUGGUAUUACAUUAAUUACGGAACGCAGCCAGCAGCUUGUUUCCAAGUGACGCACUUAUUCAAUGAAUUUGAUAUUUGUCAUUCUGUUUUAAUUUAGCUAUUGUCAGAUAGAUAAAAUAAUUUGUUAGAUUUUUGGAAGCAUAAACUUUUAAUUGUUGAUUCUCUAUUUUUAGACAAUCAACUUUUGUUUUGAUGCACCAAGGAACAUUAUACUUAUAAUGGUGAAAUUUGGAGAGAAGAAAUAAACGGACGUAGGCUUCUCAACUAGUCAUAACAGGAGACGUAAUAGUCACAGAUGACAUUACAAGGACACUUUGACCGAUAAUUGUAAAUGGGACGUUAGGUCAAAUGAUAUCUCGUUUGAAAAAUGUUAAAUAUACCUAUUCAAUUAACACUAAUUUUGUUUGGGUUUAAGUUAAUUUUAAUGAAUAAAUGAAAUAAAUAUAAAA
rnacentral:lncRNA from 1 species